UACGGAGGGAGCUAGCGUUGUUCGGAAUUACUGGGCGUAAAGCGCGCGUAGGCGGCUUUGUAAGUUAGAGGUGAAAGCCCGGGGCUCAACCCCGGAACUGCCUUUAAGACUGCAUCGCUUGAAUCCGGGAGAGGUGAGUGGAAUUCCGAGUGUAGAGGUGAAAUUCGUAGAUAUUCGGAAGAACACCAGUGGCGAAGGCGGCUCACUGGACCGGUAUCGACGCUGAUGUGCGAAAGCGUGGGGAGCAAACAGG
rnacentral:rRNA from 1 species